AGUGAACGCUGGCGGUAGGCCUAACACAUGCAAGUCGAACGGAAGCACAGUAAGAGCUUGCUCUUACGGGUGGCGAGUGGCGGACGGGUGAGGAAUACAUAGGAAUCUACUUUUUCGGGGGGGAUAACGUGGGGAAACUUACGCUAAUACCGCAUAUGACCUACGGGUGAAAGCAGGGGUUCUUCGGACCUUUCGCGAUUGAAUGAGCCGAUGCCGGAUUAGCUAGUUGGCGGGGUAAAGGCCCACCAAGGCGACGAUCCGUAGCUGGUCUGAGAGGAUGAUCAGCCACACUGGAACUGAGACACGGUCCAGACUCCUACGGGAGGCAGCAGUGGGGAAUAUUGGACAAUGGGCGCAAGCCUGAUCCAGCCAUACCGCGUGGGUGAAGAAGGCCUUCGGGUUGUAAAGCCCUUUUGUUGGGAAAGAAAAGCAGCAGGUUAAUACCCCGCUGUUCUGACGGUACCCAAAGAAUAAGCACCGGCUAACUUCGUG
rnacentral:rRNA from 1 species